ensembl:lncRNA PHD finger protein 7-like
AUGCGCAGGGCCCCCCAGCUGAUGUUGCCCUUCCCCAGGGCCAAGCUCUGCGCGCUGCCCUGUACCGCUUCUGCUGCCCACUCUGCCAGGACAUGCAGACCUUCCAGGCAGAGAUGUACCGCCUCGGCAUCAAAAUCCCUGACAGGGAUGCAGCCUGGGAAGAGGAUGGAGCCUUUGAAGACCUCUUGCAGAGGCACAGCUCCUGCGAUGCCAGCCUGUGCCUGUGCCCCCAGGGACGGGAGCAGUCGGAGGACGUGGGGUGAGUGGGCUCCGACCCCAAAGCCAUGGCGACCUGCUGCCUCCGUCCCCUCCUUCCAGCUGAGACAGACAUUGGCCAGGAUGCUGAGCUCAGCACGGCACAAGCUGUGCACUGCUAGCUCACUGCCAGCCACGGGGGUGGGAGUGGCACGGACCACCCCAGCGCUGGCACCCCACAGCCCUGGGGCCCCCGGUGACCGUGCGGUUCGGGUUCUUGCCGCUUUCCCAGGCCCUGGAGGCUGCUGCUCUGCAGCUCCUGCGGUUCCUCUGGGACCCACCAGCUCUGCUCCGCCAUCGGAGAAGACACCGAGAACUGGGAGUGCAGCGGCUGCAGUGGUGUGGGCACCGGUAAGAAACGCAGCACAGGGACAGGGUCCCCAUAGACGUGUGGCCAUAAGUCCUCGGGAGAUGUCCUCCCAGUUGGAGCCACGUUGGAUACAGAGAUGUGCACCUGCGCUCAUCUCCGUGCCCUUCGCAGCCCCUUCAGGAUCAGCCCCGGUGUAGUGAACCCUGCACAGCACCCCAGCUCCUGGCACUUCGGCUCCAGCACAUGAGGCUGCGACGCUCCAGGGACACCCCGACGCCCAGCUGCCUGCACAGCCCACAGGAAGCCCCUCGGCCACUCCAGCCUCCCAGCCGCUGAACAACAGCAAUGCAGGAUGUCCCUACUGAAGGGAGAAAACACCACGGGAGAGUUUGCUGAUGUGCCGGAGCUCUGCAGGGCGCAGCAUCCACACUGCCCUGACUCUCCUGCCUGCCCUUCGCUGCUGAGCUGCUGCUGCUUCGGCAAGAGUCAGUGGUGGGAGCCCAGCCCAGACGCCAGCAUCACCCCGUGGGGACGUGCUGAGAUCAGGGCUGGCAGCGGGGGAGCCAAGCGCAGCCCAGGGGUGGGGAAGGACCACGGAAGAUGCCACGGGCAACCGCUGGAAACCGAGGCUUUUGACAGUACAAGUUGUUUAUUUUGGCAUCAGAACUCCUGACUCCCUAAUGGAGCGCUGCAUGUAAUCCAGGGACAGGAGUUUGUGAAGUCAUGGGGUGAGUGGGCUCCGACCCCAAAGCCAUGGCGACCUGGUGCCUUCAUCCCCUCCUUCCAGCUGAGACAGACGUUGGCCAGGAUGCUGAGCUCAGCACGGCACAAGCUGUGCACUGCUAGCUCACUGCCAGCCACGGGGGUGGGAGUGGCAUGGACCGUGGCUUUGCCAGAAAUACCAUUUCUCAAGCGGCCCCAUGGCAAGGUUACAGAGUUGGCUCCAAAACAGUGUCUUGCGCGCACAUUCACCUCCACUGGUAACAGUGGAUCUUUGGAUUGGUGGCAUCGGAAUGAGGUUGCGUUGUCUUGAAGGCAGUGGGGAUGUCCCUUUUGUCCUUUCUGAUGUCACAAGCUGCAGCCUCAGGCUGGAAAGAUCUCCCUUAACAUAUCUGAACACGUAUUCAAAUCUAGUAUCCUCGAUGACAGGAUGAAACUGCCCCCAAAAUCUCAACCCGGGACAUGGGGCGAGCAGGUUUUAGCUGCUCAGGGAACUGGUUAGUGAGGUCCCCUGGGAAACUGCGUUUUGAAGACGUGGGAAUCCAUUACUGCUGGCCAUGAGUGGGAGGACCACGACUGAGGUAAUGAUCAGCUCUCAGCAUUGUCUUCCCCAUGCUGAACAGGCCCAGCUCUCUCAGCCUUCCCUCGCUGCAGCGAUGUUCCCAGCCCGACAUCAAAUCCGCAGCCCUUCGUUACGCUCCCUCUGGCAGCUCCGUGCCUUUCUAGGGCUGGGAAGUGCAGAAUCACGCUCAGCACUGCAGAUGUGGUGAGGAUGCCAUCAUCACCCCAUGGGGAUGUGCUGAGGUCAGGGCUGGCCCCGGGGAGCUGAGCCCACCUUUGGAGGGGGAAGCACCCUGGGCUCCCAAAGGGAGAGGAGACAAACAAAGGGGUCCAUACAGCAGACAAACAAAGCAGUUUCAUAGUCCAAAAAUUUUAUUUAGGCAUCAAAACUACUAAGUCCUUAUUGGAUUAUGAUGUAGUGAUAUGUUUUAAAUUAUUCCUGGAUUUUCCCCUUUCUUAGAAAAAAAAUAUUUAAUUUAAAUAAGUUAAAUAGAAUAAAUUUUGUGUAGAAGAAGAUUCA